rnacentral:rRNA from 1 species
GAUGAACGCUGGCGGCGUGCCUAAUACAUGCCAGUCGAGCGAACAGACGAGGAGCUUGCCCCUCUGACGUUAGCGGCGGACGGGUGAGUAACACGUGGAUAACCUCCCUAUAAGACUGGGAUAACUUCGGGAAACCGGAGAUAAUACCGGAUAAUAUAUUGAACCGCAUGGUUCAAUAGUGAAAGACGGUUUUGCUGUCACUUAUAGAGGGAUCCGCGCCGCAUUAGCUAGUUGGUAAGGUAACGGCUUACCAAGGCAACGAUGCGUAGCCGACCGGAGAGGGUGGUCGGCCGCACUGGAACUGGGACACGGUCCAGACUCCUACGGGAGGCAGCAGUAGGGAAUCUUCCGCAAUGGGCGAGAGCCUGACGGAGCAACGCCGCGUGAGUGAUGAAGGUCUUCGGAUCGUAAAACUCUGUUAUUAGGGAAGAACAAAUGUGUAAGUAGCUAUGCACGUCUUGACGGUACCUGAUCAGAAAGCCACGGCUAACUACGUG